AAUGAACGUUGGCGGCGUGGAUUAGGCAUGCAAGUCGAGCGAGAACCCCGCAAGGGGGGACAGCGGCAAACGGGGUAGUAAUGUGUCGGAACGUGCCCAGAGGACGGGGAUAGCGGCGGGAGACUGCCGGUAAUACCCGAUGAUCUCGAGAGAGCAAAGGUGUGAUUCCGCCUUUGGAGCGGCCGACAUGGUAUUAGCUAGUUGGCGGGGUAACGGCCCACCAAGGCUGUGAUGCCUAGGGGAUGUGAGAGCAUGAUCCCCACCAUUGGGACUGAGACACUGCCCAGACACCUACGGGUGGCUGCAGUCGAGAAUCUUCGUCAAUGGGCGAAAGCCUGAACGAGCGACGCCGCGUGCGGGAUGAAGGCCUUUGGGUUGUAAACCGCUGUCGAGGGGGAUGAAGGCAUUCAGGUCCUCCUGAAUGUUUGACAGAGCCCUGGAGGAAGCACGGGCUAAGUUCGUGCCAGCCGCCGCCGUAAAAC
rnacentral:rRNA from 1 species